rnacentral:rRNA from 1 species
CCUACGGGUGGCAGCAGUGAGGAAUAUUGGUCAAUGGUCGGGAGACUGAACCAGCCACGCCGCGUGAGGGAUGAAGGUACAGAGUAUCGUAAACCUCUUUUGUCAGGGAACAAAGGCGGGGACGUGUCCCCGGAUGAGUGUACCUGAAGAAAAAGCAUCGGCUAACUCCGUGCCAGCAGCCGCGGUAAUACGGAGGAUGCGAGCGUUUUCCGGAUUUAUUGGGUUAAAAGGGGGCGCAGGCGGGCUGUUAAGUAAGCGGUCAAAGGCCGGGGCUAUACCCCGGCCCGGCGGUGAAACCUGGCAGUCUCGAGUUGGAGAGAAGUAUGCGGAAUGUGCGGUGUAGCGGUGAAAUGAAUAGAUAUCGCGCAGAACUCCGAUUGCGAAGGCAGCAUGCGGGCUCCACACUGACGCUGAGGCACGAAGCGUGGGUAUCGAACAGGAUUAGAUACCCGGGUAGUC